UACGAAGGGGGGCUAGCGUUGUUCGGAAUUACUGGGCGUAAAGCGUGCGCAGGCGGUCGUUCAAGUCGCGUGUGAAAGCCCCCGGCUCAACUGGGGAGGGUCACGCGAUACUGAUCGACUCGAAGGCAGGAGAGGGAAGUGGAAUUCCCGGUGUAGUGGUGAAAUGCGUAGAUAUCGGGAGGAACACCAGUGGCGAAGGCGACUUCCUGGCCUGUUCUUGACGCUGAGGCGCGAAAGCUAGGGGAGCAAACGGG
rnacentral:rRNA from 1 species